GCCGUAGGUGAACCUGCGGCGGGAUCAUUACUGAGUUUACGCUCUACAACCCUUUGUGAACAUACCUACAACUGUUGCUUCGGCGGGUAGGGUCUCCGCGACCCUCCCGGCCUCCCGCCUCCGGGCGGGUCGGCGCCCGCCGGAGGAUAACCAAACUCUGAUUUAACGACGUUUCUUCUGAGUGGUACAAGCAAAUAAUCAAAACUUUUAACAACGGAUCUCUUGGUUCUGGCAUCGAUGAAGAACGCAGCGAAAUGCGAUAAGUAAUGUGAAUUGCAGAAUUCAGUGAAUCAUCGAAUCUUUGAACGCACAUUGCGCCCGCCAGCAUUCUGGCGGGCAUGCCUGUUCGAGCGUCAUUUCAACCCUCAAGCUCUGCUUGGUGUUGGGGCCCUACAGCCGAUGUAGGCCCUCAAAGGUAGUGGCGGACCCUCCCGGAGCCUCCUUUGCGUAGUAACUUUACGUCUCGCACUGGGAUCCGGAGGGACUCUUGCCGUAAAACCCCCCAAUUUUCCAAAGGUUGACCUCGGAUCAGGUAGGAAUACCCGCUGAACUUAAGCAUAUCA
rnacentral:rRNA from 1 species